GUGUUUGUCUCGAUUAAUAAAAUUUAUUUAAGUAUUGGUACCAAUUUAAUUAUAUACGUAAUAGUUACUAAAUUUUUAAUUAUUUAAUAUAUAUUUAUUAUUUCAUAAUAUGUACAAAAUAUAUAAUACUUAAAAAUAAUUUAUAUUUAAUAUUCAUUCUGCGCAAGGCGCGGGUCUUAACCUAGUUAUUUUUAUCGUAAGAACGGGACGCAACAUUUUAUACACCAGUGAAUCGUGUGAUCAAUUGAUUUUUCAAUAUUUUACCAAUCACAUAGCAGAUAUCAUAUGCUUAUCUGUUGUUUUUUUUUUUCCUAAAUUACUUUCUCAUUUUUUUGUUUUUCUUUUUUAAGGCCAAUAUCUUCUGAAAAUGAUUGUACGUAACACUGAAUAUUUUUGUUUUGUUGUUAUCAUUAAAUCUUUGUUUGCUUUGCCCCUUGCAUCUUUUUCUUAAAAUUAAAAUAUGAUAUAUUAUCUUUUGUAACCUAAUUCUUUUUAAAACACUGAAGGAAUAUAUCAACUAAGAUUUCAUGGUGGGUUUUCAGUUUUGGUUCGCAAAAGUUUGUUUACUUGUUACAUAAAAUGACAAAACAUAUAAUUUAUAGGAAAAAAGUUUGCUAGCUACAAGAGGUUUACUAUAAUAUGGUGGAAACCAUCCGAUGUAUCCGAAUAUGUCAAUAAUUACACGACGUUAAUGAUAAUACAUGCCACAUGUACAAUAUAUCAUUUAAUAUGUCAAUAACAUCACAACAAGUUUUUAUUGAUUUUAAGAAAAGUUAAUGGGGUUAUUAUGUAAUUAUAAAAACGUAAACCCCAGAUAACAAAGGAAAACCCGACCCGACCUAACUCCAUAAAACCGAGAAGACUAUCCCUAAAUCGAUUUUCAAAAAGAAAGAAAGACAGAGAGAUGGAAUUGGGUGGAGGAUGGAGCAAUAAGCUAAAGGGCAAGGCAAUUGAAGGCAAUGUGCUUUGCUACUGUGGAAUUCCGGCCAAGAUAUCUCAAGCUUGGGCAGGCAAAAAUCCGGGUCGAAGCUUCUAUGGGUGUGAAAAAUACAAGAGAGGAGGUGACUGCAAUUUUUUUCAAUGGUUUGAUGAGGAAGAUGCUUUUGGAUGGCAAAAAAAAGCUUUGAUUGAAGCUAGAAACGAAAUUCACGAGAAGAACAAAACUAUUACGGAAUUGAAGAAGACCAUUUCAAAGCUUCGAAGUGAUUUGGUGAAAAAAUAAGAGGCUGAAGAAGACAUCAUCAACGCUUUUCUCAAACUCUGAAGUUGUUAUUGUAAGGAAUGCUUUGGUCAUGAUUAUUGUCGGAUCCUCAAAAACCCCUUGUAAUGUUAUUCCUAUUUGUUAGUAUCAGAUCCUCAAAAACCCUUGUAAUGGUUUGAACAUCAUGUGUUUAGUGUAAUAUAUUGUUUGUUAUGGGCUUCA